rnacentral:rRNA from 1 species
CAAGGAAUUUUCGUCAAUGGGCGCAAGCCUGAACGAGCAACGCCGCGUGCAGGAUGACGGCUUUCGGGUUGUAAACUGCUUUUUGGGGGACGAUCAUGACGGUACCCCCGGAAUAAGCCCCGGCUCACUCUGUGCCAGCAGCCGCGGUAAUACAGAGGGGGCAAGCGUUGUCCGGACUUACUGGGUGUAAAGCGCAUGCAGGUGGCUGUGCAAGUAUGCUGUGAAAGCCCCGUGCUUAACACGGGGAGGCCAGUAUAGACUGCACGGCUCGAGGACUGCAGAGGGUAGGGGAAUUGCUGGUGUAGUGGUGAAAUGCGUAGAGAUCAGCAGGAAUACCAAUGCCGAAGGGACCUACCUGGGCAGUAUCUGACACUCAAGUGCGACAGCGUGGGGAGCGAACCGGAUUAGAUACCCGGGUAGUCCACGCCGUAAACGAUGGAUGCUCGGCGUUUGGGGGAGAAAAUCCCCCGUGGGCGCCUCAG